GGCCGGUUAGCUCAGUUGGUUUGAGCGUGGUGCUGAUAACACCAAGGUCGCGAUUUCGAUCCCCGUUCCAUCCC
rnacentral:tRNA from 1 species